rnacentral:rRNA from 1 species
UCUCCUGGGAAACGGGUGGUAAUGCCGGAUGCUCCGACUCCUCGCAUGGGGUGUCGGGAAAGAUUUCAUCGGUAUGGGAUGGGGUCGCGUCCUAUCAGGUAGUCGGCGGGGUAACGGCCCACCGAGCCUACGACGGGUAGCCGGCCUGAGAGGGCGACCGGCCACAUUGGGACUGAGAUACGGCCCAGACUCCUACGGGAGGCAGCAGUGGGGAAUAUUGCACAAUGGGCGCAAGCCUGAUGCAGCGACGCCGCGUGCGGGAUGACGGCCUUCGGGUUGUAAACCGCUUUUGAUCGGGAGCAAGCCUUCGGGUGAGUGUACCUUUCGAAUAAGCACCGGCUAACUACGUGCCAGCAGCCGCGGUAAUACGUAGGGUGCAAGCGUUAUCCGGAAUUAUUGGGCGUAAAGGGCUCGUAGGCGGUUCGUCGCGUCCGGUGUGAAAGUCCAUCGCUUAACGGUGGAUCUGCGCCGGGUACGGGCGGGCUGGAGUGCGGUAGGGGAGACUGGAAUUCCCGGUGUAACGGUGGAAUGUGUAGAUAU